CCGCGUCCGCCGCUCAAAUCCCCUGGAACGGGGUAUCGGAGAAGGUGAGAAUCCUGUGCCGUGGCGGUUCGCGGUCGCACGAUGCGCUCUUGCAGAGUCGGGUUGCUUGGGAUUGCAGCUUGAAUUGGGUGGUAAAUUCCAUCUAAAGCUAAAUACUGGCGAGAGACCGAUAGCGAACAAGUACCGUGAGGGAAAGAUGAAAAGACUUUUGAAAAGAGAGUAAAAUAGUACCUGAAACUGCUGAAAGGGAAGCGAUUGAAGUCAGUGUUGCUCCUGGUCUUUUUGCCGUCGCCCCCGUGGGGGUUGCGGCGUGGGGCCUGGAGCGUUUCAACAUGCGUUCUGUUCCGCGGGAAAUGUUCAGUGUGCUGGAACCUUCGGGGAAACGCACUGUUCUUGUCGUGGUUAGGACGGAGGACCUUUGCUCCUUUGACUGCGCGUUCCUCUCUCGGGUAUGCUGGUGUCUACUGCUUGCAGUUUUCAUUUUCAUGCUUGCGACUGUGCGUGUUAUUCAUGAGCGAACAUGAUGUUGAAGAAAUGGCUUUAAUUACCCCGUCUGGGAACACGGACCAAGGA
rnacentral:rRNA from 13 species